rnacentral:sRNA from 1 species
UCCAUGUGGUUGAGGUCUACGUAUUCC